AGAAAAGAAAAAAGGAUGACAACUUUAUUUCUAGGUUUUCCCAGAUGCCAUGAGACAAAACUGUCUCCGGGUGUGGCACAAUCGCAGUUCACAACCCCCACGUGGCCACCGAACUGACCAAAAGAACGAAAGAGCGUUUCACCUUUCAGUUUGUGGUGGAUGGAGUUUUCUUUCCGGAGCUUAAUGAGGUCUUGACCAGGGAGCUCGUAGAGGAUGGAUAUUCUGGAGUUGAAGUUAGGGUUAAGCUGAUGAGGACGGAGAUCAUAAUCAGGACGACUCGCAGUCAGAAUGUUCUUGUUCUUGGUAAAACUUUGUUAUCGGCAAAUUGAAUCAUAACUUGUAACUUUGAUUUAGCUGUGUUGGGUAUGCAGUAAUCAGUGCUCAGAGUGUAAUUCGGCAAACUAUAUGCUUUUUAUUUUAUUAUUUUUUGCCAACAAACUAGAUACUGUCUUAUUAGAUUAUGUUAUUCUGGAAUUGAAGGGCGUAUAGUUGUGAAUUAACUUUUUUUUAUCAGUAGCUUUCCAUGUGUAUUUUUUAAAUACCAACUUUUUGGGUUAAGAUCUUGCUUUGAAAUUGGAUUUUGUGCUAAUUUUUAUUAAAAAAAAUCUAGUUUUAGCAUUGUCUAUUAUCUCUUACCUAAGAUUUUAUGGGUUAAGAGGAUCUUCCAUCAAUGCUUAUAUAGACUAACUUGGGGUUUUGUUAGUCCUUGAGAACUGUUAUAGUUCUUGGGGUUCGGGAACUCCUGCAUCUCAUUCUUUCCCUUCCUUUGAGGAUGCUGUUGAUGACCUGAUGAAACCAUCUAGAUGUGCAGGAACUGAAAUUUAAUCUUAUCCGAUCGACUACAGAUGUGCAGGAACUGAAGAGUGUGUUUGAUUGUGGAGCUUUGGAGUGAUCCCUCUCCUCAUCUGGGUGAAAGUUUUUGGACGGGAGGGGAGUGUAGCAAGCCACCUAAUGAAACAGCCACAACCUUCCCUAUCGCACCCUCCGUCACCAAACACAUCUUGUUAUUAUUGCUGAGAUUGAACAACAAUGAAACCCACCUUGUUAUCAUCAUUCGUCACCUAACUAGGUCUCCGCCCUUGCAGCAACGGCUAUUUGGGGGGUCUCAUAUUGCAAUAAAUCGAUCGACUCCAA